GUUGAAAGCUUGAAAAUGAUUUUACCCUCAAUUAUGAAUUUAAGAUUUACGAGAAUUUUAUCUACUAUCAAUUUGAAGAGCAAAAAAAUUUUAAAGACUUCUGAAAUUUUUGGAAAAAGAAAGGUGAAGUGUUAAAAAAAAUCUUACUUUUGUAAAAGCCACAUAAGGGGCAUAAAUGUCAAUCGAUAAAUCUCAACUGAAAGAAAAC
rnacentral:misc_RNA from 1 species